UACGUAGGGGGCAAGCGUUGUCCGGAUUUAUUGGGCGUAAAGAGCGUGUAGGCGGUCAGGUAGGUCCGUUGUGAAAACUCGAGGCUCAACCUCGAGACGCCGAUGGAAACCAUCUGACUAGAGUCCGGAAGAGGAGAGUGGAAUUCCUGGUGUAGCGGUGAAAUGCGCAGAUAUCAGGAAGAACACCCGUGGCUAAGGCGGUUCUCUGGGCCUUACCUGACGCUGAGGAGCGAAAGCGUGGGGAGCGAACAGG
rnacentral:rRNA from 1 species